rnacentral:snoRNA from 1 species
UCCCAUUUUUAUCCUGAAGGGAAACCAUAAGAAUAAGUGUGGCCCUCCUUUUCGUGGCGGGGACUGGUGUGUGGUCCCACUUCCCCCCUCGGUGCCAUGUCUUGGGUGCUGGCGGCUUCCUGUUCGCCGGUUCAAUCCUCAAACGCCGAGACACGG